GACGUAGGGCGCGAGCGUUGUCCGGAUUUAUUGGGCGUAAAGAGCUCGUAGGCGGUUUGUCGCGUCUGCUGUGAAAACUCGGGGCUUAACUCCGGGCCUGCAGUGGGUACGGGCAGACUAGAGUGCGGUAGGGGGAGACUGGAAUUCCUGGUGUAGCGGUGAAAUGCGCAGAUAUCAGGAGGAAUACCAGUGGCGAAGGCGGCCUUCUGGACGGAUACUGACGCUGAGGCGCGAAAGCCAGGGGAGCAAACGGG
rnacentral:rRNA from 1 species